rnacentral:lncRNA from 1 species
GGCAACUUACAUCGUCAGGCGGUCCAGGACGAGGAGUAGACACUGGCUUUGGCAUUGGGCGAUUGUGAGGGAAACUGCUGGGCGGUGACCCUUGCUGUCGAGCGGUUUGGAGGUUUAUGGGAAACCACCGGGCGCCACACUUGAACCACCGGGCGGUGGUCCGCUGGGCUUGGGCCCGUUUUCUGUUGAACUCCUCACCUAUAAAUACCCCUAUUUCGAGUUCAGAGUCAUUCUUUUAACCG